GGGGGGGGUGUUGGGUGGUGACGGUUGGGCGUGCGCGCGUGCCGGCGGCCGUUACCGGCUGCGUCCGCCUCUCCCCAACCCCCUCCAUCUUCUCCUCCGUAUCCCACAGCCGGGCAAAAUGCUAAAAAAAAUUAAAAAAAAAAAAAAAAAAGGACGUAAACGGUUGUGGUCACACUGCUGGGAAUCCCUCCUGAGACCGUGAGGGAGGCUGCGGGAGUUCGGUGGCUUUCACCUGCACCAUUCAUUGUUUGGCAUAACCAGUCCACUAAGUGAAUGCAUUUUUGUCUCACUUCAAGAUAUCUAAACAGUGUUACAAGUUGUGGUGAAGAAAAGCGUGAGUGAAAAAACUUUUCUUGCUUUAGUAGUUCAAAGCUUCUCACCUUUUGAGAUGAAACUUGAGAUACUUGAGGAUGCUGCGACUUGGCAGAAACGUGCAACUCAUGCAGGCUAAGUUUGACAGAUGCAUGACCACUGUCUUCUAUCAAUCCUGAACUUCCAUGUAUGUCUACUGCUGUGAAGAAUAGUGUUCAUAGUCUUGGAAUUUAGGACUUGAUACUUCUUUUCUAUGAGAGAAGAAGUGGCAGUCUCCAAGGGAAAAGGUAGUAGGACAGAAGGCAACUGAAAGCCUAUUUGAACAAGAACAAACAGUUACCUGUCUCUUUGAAGAUUUUUUCAUCAGGUGGGACCACUGAGCAGAGGCUGUUCAGGACCAGCGUACCCAAUUUCAAAGCAUUUUUCUCUGAACUCUUGUAGUAGUCCAAAGAAUUGUGCGUCAAAACAAACCAACGCUUCUUCAGUUUUAAUGAAGACAUCUUUGGGUUGUUCUUUACUUCUUUGUGUAGCCAUCCUGUUAAAGACACAAUUUGAAUUGCACUUUUUUUUUUCAAACAGAGUUGGACAAAAUUAGGCUGCUAAAACUUAGUUGUGUACUUUGAACAACAAAAAUAUGAUGUGAAUUGUUUAGCCCACAUAUUAAACAACUUUGAGUAAAAUUUUUAAGCAAUGAAAUGAUGAAGAUGUAAUAAAAUUAAUAUGAAAACUUUUCAACUUUGGUGUUUACCUAGAAAAAUUCUUUUGUCAACUUACAAAAAUGCUUUGGUCAUCGUUACACAGCACAGCAGGAGUAUAACUUCAGCUGUAUUAAUUUGUGAGUAAACUCCACCGUAGAAAGAUGAGGCUCUAACACUACCAUGCUGACAUAUUACCCAGACUGUAUUGCAGGAACAAUCUCUUCGAAGCUUAAUGGAUGUUAUUUACUUUGUUGCUGUCCUACUCCGUUCUUACCUCUCACAAUGAAUUCUUGUCCCUCCACUCUAGUGUCCCCCUUUGACCUUUGGAGAAGCGUUAUCCAGUGGUGCAUCUCUUCAGGAGUGUCAGCAUUACAGUGAAGAACACGAUUAGCAGUGAUGAUCACAAAUGAAUUGGGUCUAUGAAAAUAAACGAAGGCUUUACAAUCAA